rnacentral:rRNA from 1 species
UACGUAGGGCGCAAGCGUUAUCCGGAAUUAUUGGGCGUAAAGAGCUCGUAGGCGGUUUGUCGCGUCUGCUGUGAAAACCCGAGGCUCAACCUCGGGCCUGCAGUGGGUACGGGCAGACUAGAGUGCGGUAGGGGAGAUUGGAAUUCCUGGUGUAGCGGUGGAAUGCGCAGAUAUCAGGAGGAACACCGGUGGCGAAGGCGGCCCACUGGAUCGGUACUGACGCUGAGGAGCGAAAGCCAGGGGAGCAAACGGG